CUCGAGCGUACGCGGCCGGGGCCGGCAGGGGAGCCCGCCACCCGCCACCACGGGCCGGGCUCCCCCAAAUCCAGCGUCUGGCCGUGCCGGGCGGCAACGGCAGAACGGCCCUCAAACCUCCCGCAAAGAGAGGAGAGGAAAGGUAGACGGCAGGCGUCCGUCAGGCCGGCCCAACCACGAUCGCUCACACGCCCGCGAGGGCCCCCCAGAGGAGGUAAACACACGCGGGCGCGCGCUCAGCCCCACCCCCAGCAGGCGAUCUCACCCACACCUCCUCUCGUCGCGCCGGGACGAACGAGAGGACGCCGCUGGGGGGGAGGGAAACCCACACGCCCAACACCCCUCCCCCAGGGGCGGGGGGGGUGCAUGAGGCGCAAGAGCCUCCCCUUCCCUACCGACUCGAUCCCCGGGCGGUUUCCCGGCACAGCCAGAAAAACCCCCAAAGCGAGGUUCAGCACGCCAACGACGGCAGGCGGCUCAGAACAGAGGCACCGGGACACGGGUACGACACCGACCCUCAGCCUCGUGCACCUGGACAGACAAGCCGGGAACGCUCCAGGAGCACCGCAGGAGGCCGAGGCACGCUCGCGUGCCACAGGGCGCGGCACGCAGCGUAGUGGCGGGGCAAGCCGCUCUCCCCACCUCCGGGGAGGACUCCACCCACGCCGCAGACGCCCCCCGAAGGGGCAAGCGAGGAGAGUUCCAUCGCGUCAAGCGACCACGACCCACCCCCCCGGGCGACAGCACCACAAGGGCGAGCGGGAGGGGAGCGAGGUCGGGCCGGAUUCCGCACCCCUGCCUUCCACGCACCACCGAGAGGCGGGGUAGAGAGACGAGGGGCCCGCAGGCAGAACGAGAAGAGCGGUCCCAUUCACCAUGAAUGUCCGUCCCUCGCCUGGCGCGGCUUAGGCCCGGCCCAGGAGAGCGCUCAUUCACCACAUCGGUCACAAUGAAAGGAGAGGGGAAGAGACGGGACCGCGGGGAGGGCAGGCCUGGCAAGGACAGUCAGAGAAGAGCCCGCUUUCAGCCUCGCCAGUGCCACAACCCCCAACACCGCCAGCGGCCGACAACGACCCAGGGGAACGCCUGACACGCAGAAAGGCACGGAGCCACACUCGAGGGUCGUCUCAGACCGCACUCGGUGCCCGCGACGAGGAGCACACAGGGGCAGAGGGCCCCUGCCGCCAUCCCCGCCACCCUCGGGUGCUAGAGACCGGAGGCGGCACCGAGCCAGGGGAGGCUACACUCGGAUGUCCAAGAGCCGGCGCACGGGCCCCAGGGCGGACAGCUCAGGGGCGAGAGAAGCAGGGUUCCAAGUACCACGGGACGGCCAGCAAACCCAGAGCCCCAACUCGCCAUCCGGGAGCCCAAAUCCCCUCGUCUUUGCAGCAGCGGCAACCACCGAAAGACAGCGUGUCAGCAUAUACCUGCAGACACAAAACACCCACCUCUAGCCAAAAGAUCUGUGACACAUGACAGAGGGGACAAUCCCCUGAUCACACCCGCCCUCCAAAGCAAGGCGCCGGGGACCUGGCCCCUCAGACGACCCCAAUGCUGCAGACGGCGGAGCACCCAGGGCCAACUGGUCGACCGCGGGGGUGGGGUGGGGGGGCGGGACAGGGCGCAGGGACGCUGGACCAAGCCAGCCCUCCAUCAGCGCCCUCCCCGAGCCACCUGCUGGCGCGGGGGACAGCACGAGACCCUCUCACCUGGGCCUUCCUUGGGGAAACGGGCAAUGGGCCGAGCCCUAUGGCCACUGGGGUCCACUGGGUCCCCACUGGGGCCCGGAGGCCGGGCACCCUCCCCGGGCGGGCGAACCCCGCCGAUCCUCGAGCCUAACUCGGACUUAGUCGCUGACUGAGACAGGUAGGUCCCCGCCCGCCCCUCCAAACACCAGGACCCACUCGGGCUCGAGGCCGAGGCCCCGACAACCUCCACGGGCGGGUGGCCCCAGCCCCGGCCCCGGCCCCGGCCCCGGCCCCGGCCAGUCCGCGAGCUCGCGAGCUCACACUUGGGGAAUCACAACGAUCCAGAUCCAGACUUCCAACCACCGGGGGCAAAGCCCAACAGCCCUGCACGGCCCCUCGCGCUGCAGCCAGGACAAGGCGGGGACCCCGCAAGGAGUCCGGAGAAGAGCAAAGAGGAACACAGGCACCGGUGACCCGGCCGAGCUGGCCACACACUCCCUUCCACGAGCCGGCCCAGCCGGCUGCCUGCCGGGAUGGAGGGAACACAUCUCUUCCCUCCUUGCGUCUCGGUGGCCGGCCGGAGGGCCGCCGAGAAGCAGGAGGGUGUGCUGGUCGACCGGCUCGGGUCACCCACACACCCCCCGGCUAGCCGCGACCGGCCGCGGAAAGGCGGCAACAGUCACCUCUCACAUAGCCCUGCCGAUCCAAUCUCCGCACAGCGCGCCCGCCGGCUCAGCUCAGGCACGACCGCUGCAGUCCCGCCUAGCAGGCGGACCUCCUGGGACUCUGUCCCCGUCGCCAAGGCCACACGUCAGCCCUUGCCGCUCCAGCUGCUGACUACGAGCGCGACAUCAUAGCAAAGCCACCACCAGGUGGAGCCCCACAACGACCUCAAACACCAGCGAGAUCACCAGAGGUCUCUGAGCUGGAAGAGCAGGAUGUUCAAAAUCACCCUAAGGGGCCCAAUCGGCGGGGUCCCCUGGCCUCCAAGGGGGGAGGGAGGACCGCGGAAAGGAGUAGGCGAGAAACACAGAGAGUCCAAAACAAGCCACCUGAACAAGCUGCUGCAGCCCCAAGGAGGCAAAGGGCCAAGGGGCUCAGGCCAGCCCGGCAAACAAAUCGCUACAAAGCGGGGUUGAGGUUGACGUUGUACUUCUCGGAAGCCUAUAAAUAAAGACACAUGCUACAGUG